AUAAUAUUCAGUGAAACUUUUGGUGAUAUUAUUACCUUCGAUGUUCUACAGCUGCCAGGUUGGGAGAUCAACUACACCCAAAGGAUUCAACCGGUGCACGAUAACAAACGAAAAAAUAUCUGGGAAUCAAGUUGAGAACUGUAACAAAUCCUGGAUUUCCAUAGAUAAGUCCCUAUCUUUAAUAUAUAGACAAGUCUGAGUUGUUUUUAAUUUAUAGCUGUGUUUUAUUCGUUGUGCUCUUUUGGAUACGCAGUCGAUACGAAUUUAUUAUUAAUUGUUGCUUAAACUUUCUUUUUCACAGCAAUAAAUAUCAAUUUGGAUAAUCAUGUUUUAGUUUGUAUUAUUUCAAUUCUUAAGGUGUUUUCUGCUUUUCCGCCCUUUUUAUUAAUUUUUAACGUCGUUCGUUAAAAGGCUGGUGACCCCCAUCUGAGUACCAAUUAUUUAUAUACUUUAACUGAGACCGAAUACCACAUCCUGAAAAAGAGUUUCCAGCUGGGGAACCAUCGAAAUAUUCUGAGAAUUGAUAUGAUAGAUAUAGAGAGAAAUAUUGAAAAAAACGGUUGUAAUGUGUAAAAACAUAAUAAAUAAAUCAGUCAGAGUUUUCACUAUUAUUUAAUAAAGUAGAGGUACACCACAGUUAAAUUGUUUACAAGUAGUC